rnacentral:rRNA from 1 species
GACGAACGCUGGCGGCGUGCUUAACACAUGCAAGUCGAACGGAAAGGCCCUGCUUUUGUGGGGUGCUCGAGUGGCGAACGGGUGAGUAACACGUGAGUAACCUGCCCUUGACUUUGGGAUAACUUCAGGAAACUGGGGCUAAUACCGGAUAGGAGCUCCUGCUGCAUGGUGGGGGUUGGAAAGUUUCGGCGGUUGGGGAUGGACUCGCGGCUUAUCAGCUUGUUGGUGGGGUAGUGGCUUACCAAGGCUUUGACGGGUAGCCGGCCUGAGAGGGUGACCGGCGACAUUGGGACUGAGAUACGGCCCAGACUCCUACGGGAGGCAGCAGUGGGGAAUAUUGCACAAUGGGCGGAAGCCUGAUGCAGCAACGCCGCGUGCGGGAUGACGGCCUUCGGGGUGUAAACCGCUGUCGCCUGUGACGAAGCGUGAGUGACGGUAAUGGGUAAAGAAGCACCGGCUAACUACGUG